UACGAAGGGGGCUAGCGUUGUUCGGAAUUACUGGGCGUAAAGGGCGCGUAGGCUGUGCUGUAAGUCAGGCGUGAAAGGCCCGGGCUCAACCUGGGAAUGGCGCUUGAUACUGCGGCGCUGGAAGGUGGGAGAGGAUGGCGGAAUUCCCAGUGUAGAGGUGAAAUUCGUAGAUAUUGGGAAGAACACCGGUGGCGAAGGCGGCCAUCUGGCCCACAUUUGACGCUGAGGCGCGAAAGCGUGGGGAGCAAACAGG
rnacentral:rRNA from 1 species